rnacentral:rRNA from 1 species
CCUACGGGAGGCAGCAGUGGGGAAUUUUGGACAAUGGGGGCAACCCUGAUCCAGCCAUGCCGCGUGAGUGAAGAAGGCCUUCGGGUUGUAAAGCUCUUUCGGCCGGGAAGAAAUCGACUCAAGCUAAUACCUUGGGUGGAUGACGGUACCGGAAGAAGAAGCACCGGCUAACUACGUGC